GAGUUUGAUCAUGGCUCAGGAUGAACGCUGGCGGCGUGCUUAACACAUGCAAGUCGAACGAACCUUCGGGUUAGUGGCGGACGGGUGAGUAACGCGUGAGAAUCUGCCCUCAGGAGGGGGAUAACAGCUGGAAACGGCUGCUAAUACCCCAUAUGCCGCGAGGUGAAAUGAAUUUCGCCUGAGGAUGAGCUCGCGUCUGAUUAGCUAGUUGGUGCAGGUAAUGGCUCACCAAGGCAUCGAUCAGUAGCUGGUCUGAGAGGAUGAUCAGCCACACUGGGACUGAGACACGGCCCAGACUCCUACGGGAGGCAGCAGUGGGGAAUUUUCCGCAAUGGGCGAAAGCCUGACGGAGCAACGCCGCGUGAGGGAUGAAGGCCUCUGGGCUGUAAACCUCUUUUAUCAAGGAAGAAGAUCUGACGGUACUUGAUGAACAAGCCACGGCUAAUUCCGUGCCAGCAGCCGCGGUAAUACGGGAGUGGCAAGCGUUAUCCGGAAUUAUUGGGCGUAAAGCGUCCGCAGGCGGCCCUUCAAGUCUGCUGUUAAAAAGUGGAGCUUAACUCCAUCAUGGCAGUGGAAACUGAGGGGCUUGAGUGUGGUAGGGGCAGAGGGAAUUCCCGGUGUAGCGGUGAAAUGCGUAGAUAUCGGGAAGAACACCAGUGGCGAAGGCGCUCUGCUGGGCCAUCACUGACGCUCAUGGACGAAAGCCAGGGGAGCGAAAGGGAUUAGAUACCCCUGUAGUCCUGGCCGUAAACGAUGAACACUAGGUGUCGGGGGAAUCGACCCCCUCGGUGUCGUAGCCAACGCGUUAAGUGUUCCGCCUGGGGAGUACGCACGCAAGUGUGAAACUCAAAGGAAUUGACGGGGGCCCGCACAAGCGGUGGAGUAGGUGGUUUAAUUCGAUGCAACGCGAAGAACCUUACCAGGGUUUGACAUCCUGCGAAUCUCUUGGAAACGAGAGAGUGCCUUCGGGAGCGCAGUGACAGGUGGUGCAUGGCUGUCGUCAGCUCGUGUCGUGAGAUGUUGGGUUAAGUCCCGCAACGAGCGCAACCCACGUCUUUAGUUGCCAGCAUUUAGUUGGGCACUCUAGAGAGACCGCCGGUGAUAAACCGGAGGAAGGUGUGGAUGACGUCAAGUCAUCAUGCCCCUUACAUCCUGGGCUACACACGUACUACAAUGCUACGGACAAAGGGCAGCAAGUUCGCGAGGACAAGCAAAUCCCAUAAACCGUGGCUCAGUUCAGAUCGUAGGCUGCAACUCGCCUACGUGAAGGAGGAAUCGCUAGUAAUCGCAGGUCAGCAUACUGCGGUGAAUACGUUCCCGGGCCUUGUACACACCGCCCGUCACACCAUGGAAGUUGGCCACGCCCGAAGCCGUUACUCCAACCCUUGUGGAGGAGGACGUCGAAGGUGGGGCUGAUGACUGGGGUGAAGUCGUAACAAGGUAACC
rnacentral:rRNA from 1 species